rnacentral:lncRNA from 1 species
GUGGCCGGCCUCCUCACCAAGGGGUAGGCAGGUGCCCAGAAUGCUGGAGGAUGCCCGGUAAGGGCACCCGAGUCGCCAGCGGUACCUGUCUGAAGGCGCCCACCCAUCCCCGGGUACCGACCUGAGCCUCCCGUACCUUACCUCACUCAACAGCAGGCUGCAGCCGCUCCGCUUUACGGCACUCACAGCAACCGCCGCAAAAGCCGCCGUCAAGUGCUGAGCGGCGGAGGCUGGCUUGGUUCCUGCUGGGACGUUCCCACGGUCCAGCCCCAGCCUCGGCUUUCCUGUGACUCUUGUCGCAUCCUCACCGCCAGAAGUUCACUGAGCCCUGGCGAUUCCUCGCUUUUAUAAUCUAGCCACUUAGCCAAAGCCCUUUUUUAUCUCUUGCCUAAUUGACAACUACAGCAGCGCACUGAGGCAAUCUGAGAGUUUAAGUUCUGAAACGCUUUCGACAGCGGAAGAUGAACUGGAGGCAGCAGCUGAGCCGUUUUCCAAGCCCGUUAAAUGUGAACUUCUGAUAAACGAGUGGUUUUUUUAAAAUUUCCUAUGCACAUACAAGCUUACUGUUGAAGUCCUCUCAUCCAAUGCACUCAGAACGGGACUGUAAGUCCAGCUGCUGUGUAUCAUCACCUCAGCCCGAUUGGUCCUCGGCCACACUUCACUUCAGCUUCUGAUAGGUCCUGGGCCAAGCUAAGCAGCAUCUAUGAAUCAUUUCACCUCCUGACUGGUCCCGGGCCAAGCCGAGUCACGCAUUCGCCAAGACAGCCCCCAGACUAAGCACAUUCCUUCCCCUUCCGUCCAUAAAAACCUGGACCCCAGCCUCAUGAUGGGCACUCCCGUUCGGGACCCCCUCUCUGCUGGCAGAGAGCUUUCUUCUUUCACCUUAUUAAACUUUCACUCUAACCUCA